rnacentral:misc_RNA from 1 species
GAUAAUUUUCAUUCCAUAGGACACUUUCCUUAAACUCUUUUUUUCAAUCAUAGUAAAAGGAAAUUCAAUUAAAAUUUAUAGCUUGGAUUCUUCAAACUUAGGCUGCACCACUUCAAGUUGCGUUGUUGAAUCCCUAAGCUCUUUUUGUUCUACACUUUCAUUCUUCAACCACUAAGGGCUCUCAUUGGACCUCCUGUUGACAACGUUGUUUCUGCUGGAAUAAAAUUUGCUCAUUAUCUAGAGGCUGAAGCUCUUGUUCCAACAAAUAUUUCGUCAUUUGCCAUGUAUGGAAUGGUCCUUUUCCUUCUCUUACCCUCCUAGAUUGUAGUUGCUCCCACCAUGUGAAUGCAUCUCCCUUUAAUCAACAUGCCACCAACUUGACCUCUCUUUCAGGUGUUAUGUCCAUAUAGUUGAAGAAUUUGUCAACCUUCGUGAUCUAAUCUAAGAAUUCUUCAAUGUUGAGAUCCCCAUAGGAAUAAGGAACAUCAAUUUUCAAUUGAUAAUCUGCCCCUUCUCAUUUCACCAUAUUCGCUUUGAUACCUAUUGAACCUAAUUGGCUUGUAGUCGUUUUCCUCUUCCGGAUCAUCAUCGUAGACAUUUUGCCUCAUGCAAGAAUUGGUCGAUAAAUAAGCUUACCACGAACUGCACCAUCUUUUGUUUUUCUAUUUUCAACCCAAUCCUCCAAACCAAAACUCAAAAGCUCAAAAGACACAUGAUAUAUGAGACUAUUUAUAGAGAUUUUAAUCUCUUAAUCCUAAUGAAAAAAAAAAAAAUCUAAUUUCUAGGAAGUUUAGAUAAUCUAAAAUACAUCAGGAAGUUGAGAUAAAAUAGGAAAAACUAACACCUAUUUGAAAUUGGAAAACUAAAAAUAAAUUGUAAUUAGAAUCGGUAAAUUAGAAAUAAGUCCUAAUUUAAAUAGGAAGCACCCUAAAACUAAUUAUGCAGCUGUAUUUUAACAAAACACUAAGUAAAUUUGGGUUUGUACUGCUUGAAACAAAUUUAUCGUUGCUGGUCCAGUGGGAAAUGCACUGCAUCCAAAUGGGAAAUCUUGAGCUUUUCUCCAACAAUUACUUCUCAAGAUAAAACUCAAACUUGGUUCAAAUGUAAUGCAAUAUUCACUGCCAUUUAAUCAUCACUAGCAGCAUCAUACCCCAACCAAAACUGCCUAAACCUUUGAGCAAAUUUGAAUGGACACAAGCAAUUUCUUAUACUAUCUAGUGAAUGGAUUCCAUAAUGCAAGAGUAGCAUAAUCUUUUAGCAAGAAAGUAAAUAGAGAUUGAUCAAAUUAAUUAAGUCAAUUUUAGUAUGUUCCAUUUGAAUUUUUAAAUUUAAAACAUCUGACAUGGCUGCCAGAUAAGCAUUCUGAUGAAGCUUUCAACUGAUUUUGACCAAAGCGGCCACGCAUGAAACAAUGUUGAAAAUUGCUGGUGUUUUGUGUGACAAAAUGAAAUUAUACAACAAUUCCUUAUAAAGCUUUUUUACCCCAUUUCGUGUGUUAAAGUUUUCUGUUGGAAAAUUUAUAUAUGCAUGGAACAAGUUUGUUGCCACAUUGGUUCUAUGUUUUUGUAUUAAGAGAUAAUUCCAAGGAACGGCUUUUAUAGUGCUUAUCAAAGCUCAAAAUUUAGUUGUCUUGUUCAAGGAACUGAACAAACUUGCUUAGAAAGAAU